UUAGUACUCUAUAAAUAGAGUAUUGAACUAUUAUUUGAGAUAUGAAUAAUAUAUGCACCUUGUUUCCUUUUCUCAAUUCUCUAUCAUAUUCUCUAUCGUUGUUCUCGUUCUUGGUAUAAUCGGAAGCCACCUAAAUGUUCCUUUUGUCCAAAGCCUAAUCGUUCUUCGAAAUCUCUUACGAGAGGACCUAGACGCUUGCACACACA
rnacentral:lncRNA from 1 species